rnacentral:rRNA from 1 species
UACGUAGGGGGCGAGCGUUGUCCGGAUUUAUUGGGCGUAAAGAGCUCGUAGGCGGUUCGGUAAGUCGGAUGUGAAAUCUCCACGCUCAACGUGGAGGGGCCAUUCGAUACUGCCGUGACUCGAGUCCGGUAGGGGAGUGUGGAAUUCCCGGUGUAGCGGUGAAAUGCGCAGAGAUCGGGAGGAACACCCGUAGCGAAGGCGGCACUCUGGGCCGGUACUGACGCUGAGGAGCGAAAGCGUGGGGAGCAAACAGGG